rnacentral:rRNA from 1 species
GAUGAACGCUGGCGGCGUGCCUAAUACAUGCAAGUCGAGCGAAUGGAUUAAGAGCUUGCUCUUAUGAAGUUAGCGGCGGACGGGUGAGUAACACGUGGGUAACCUGCCCAUAAGACUGGGAUAACUCCGGGAAACCGGGGCUAAUACCGGAUAACAUUUUGAACCGCAUGGUUCGAAAUUGAAAGGCGGCUUCGGCUGUCACUUAUGGAUGGACCCGCGUCGCAUUAGCUAGUUGGUGAGGUAACGGCUCACCAAGGCAACGAUGCGUAGCCGAGCUGAGAGGGUGAUCGGCCACACUAGGACUGAGACACGGCCCAGACUCCGACGGGAGGCAGCAGUAGGGAAUCUUCCGCAAUGGACGAAAGUCUGACGGAGCAACGCCGCGUGAGUGAUGAAGGCUUUCGGGUCGUAAAACUCUGUUGUUAGGGAAGAACAAGUGCUAGUUGAAUAAGCUGGCACCUUGACGGUACCUAACCAGAAAGCCACGGCUAACUACGUGCCAGCCGCCGCAGUAA